rnacentral:rRNA from 1 species
GAUGAACGCUAGCUACAGGCCUAACACAUGCAAGUCGAGGGGAAACGACAUCGAAAGCUUGCUUUUGAUGGGCGUCGACCGGCGCACGGGUGAGUAACGCGUACCAACCUGCCCACCACUUGGGGAUAACCUUGCGAAAGUAAGACUAAUACCCAAUGACGUCUCUAGAAGACAUCUGAAAGAGAUUAAAGAUUUAUCGGUGAUGGAUGGGGAUGCGUCUGAUUAGGUUGUUGGCGGGGUAACGGCCCACCAAGGCGACGAUCAGUAGGGGUUCUGAGAGGAAGGUCCCCCACAUUGGAACUGAGACACGGUCCAAACUCCUACGGGAGGCAGCAGUGAGGAAUAUUGGUCAAUGGACGAGAGUCUGAACCAGCCAAGUAGCGUGCAGGAUGACGGCCCUAUGGGUUGUAAACUGCUUUUAUAAGGGAAUAAAGUGAGUCUCGUGAGACUUUUCGCAUGUACCUUAUGAAUAAGGACCGGCUAAUUCCGUGCCAGCAGCCGCGGUAA